UACGGAGGGGGCGAGCGUUAUUCGGAAUUAUUGGGCGUAAAGGGCGCGUAGGCGGCCCGGUAAGUCAAAGGUGAAAUCCCUCGGCUCAACUGAGGAACUGCCUUUGAAACUGUCGGGCUUGAGGCCGGGAGGGGGUAGCGGAAUUCCCAGUGUAGCGGUGAAAUGCGUAGAUAUUGGGAGGAACACCAGUGGCGAAGGCGACACCCUGGACUCAUACUGACACUGAGGUGCGAAAGCGUGGGAGCAAACAGG
rnacentral:rRNA from 1 species